GAUGAACGCUGGCGGCGUGCCUAAUACAUGCAAGUCGAGCGAACAGACGAGGAGCUUGCUCCUCUGACGUUAGCGGCGGACGGGUGAGUAACACGUGGAUAACCUACCUAUAAGACUGGGAUAACUUCGGGAAACCGGAGCUAAUACCGGAUAAUAUAUUGAACCGCAUGGUUCAAUAGUGAAAGACGGUUUUGCUGUCACUUAUAGAUGGAUCCGCGCCGCAUUAGCUAGUUGGUAAGGUAACGGCUUACCAAGGCGACGAUGUGUAGCCGACCUGAGAGGGUGAUCGGCCACACUGGAACUGAGACACGGUCCAGACUCCUACGGGAGGCAGCAGUAGGGAAUCUUCCGCAAAGGGCGAAAGCCUGACGGAGCAACGCCGCGUGAGUGAUGAAGGUCUUCGGAUCGUAAAACUCUGUUAUUAGGGAAGAACAAAUGUGUAAGUAACUAUGCACGUCUUGACGGUACCUAAUCAGAAAGCCACGGCUAACUACGUG
rnacentral:rRNA from 1 species